GUGAUAGCUGGUUUCUCAAUAAAAGAAUUUUAGUCCAACCUAAAGCAAUAGAUAUACACACAAAUUAACCCAUCGCUUUAGAGCAAUUCAAAUAAGGUACAGCCUAUUUGAUACAGGACCCAACCUUGAUUAAUGGGUAAUUCUCGAUUCACAUUUAUAAGUAGGCCUAAGAGCAGCCAUCUUUUUAAAAGCGUCAUAGCUUAACUAUGUUAUCCUAAUUUCUUAACCCCACGUGACCCCUUUAAUUGUAAUGAGAACUUCUAUAAAAUUAUAGAACUUUUUAUGCUAAAACUAGUAACAAGAGGUAACCCCUCUCUAUAAUGCAAGUAUAACCCAGCAAGAACCCACCACUGGCAACUAACAGACCUAAACAAAAGUAGCAACCCACCUAGAAAACCCUACCCCUAUAACUGUUAACCUAAUACUAGAGCAUUUCAAGAAAGAUUAAAAGAAAAAGAAGGAAUUCGGCAAAUAUUAGCCCCGCCUGUUUACCAAAAACAUCGCCUCUUGUCACCAUAAGAGGUCUAGCCUGCCCAGUGACUUCUGUUCAACGGCCGCGGUAUCCUAACCGUGCGAAGGUAGCGUAAUCACUUGUUUCCUAAAUAGAGACCAGUAUGAAAGGCAUCACGAGGGUUAAACUGUCUCCUUUCUCUAAUCAGUGAACCUAAUCUCCCCGUGAAGAAGCGGGGAUUUUUAUAUAAGACGAGAAGACCCUAUGGAGCUUAAAACAUUAUAUGUUUUUGGUUGGGGUGACCGCGGAGAAAAAUUUAUCCUCCACAAUGAAAGGGGAUUUUCCCUGAACAGUAAGAUACAACUUUAUGUACCAGUAAACUGACAUCCAUUGACCCAAUAUAUUGAUUAACGAACCAAGUUACCCUAGGGAUAACAGCGCAAUCCACUUUGAGAGCCCCUAUCGACAAGUGGGCUUACGACCUCGAUGUUGGAUCGGGGUAUCCUAGUGGUGCAGCCGCUACUAAAGGUUCGUUUGUUCAACGAUUAAAACCCCACGUGAUCUGAGUUCAGACCGGAGCAAUCCAGGUCAGUUUCUAUCUAUAAAAGAGCUUUUUUUAGUACGAAAGGACCAAAAUAGCAUGGCCAAUGUCCAUACAAGCCAUAGUUAAUUAUUUUUGAAUUUCACCUCAAAAAAUUAUCAACCUAAUACUUCUCCUC
rnacentral:rRNA from 1 species